rnacentral:rRNA from 1 species
UACGGAGGGUGCAAGCGUUAUCCGGAUUUACUGGGUUUAAAGGGUGCGUAGGUGGGCAGGUAAGUCAGUGGUGAAAUCUCCGGGCUUAACUCGGAAACUGCCAUUGAUACUAUCUGUCUUGAAUAUCCUGGAGGUAAGCGGAAUAUGUCAUGUAGCGGUGAAAUGCUUAGAUAUGACAUAGAACACCCAUUGCGAAGGCAGCUUACUACGGGAUUAUUGACACUGAGGCACGAAAGCGUGGGGAUCAAACAGG